GACGAACGCUGGCGGCGUGCUUAACACAUGCAAGUCGAACGGAAAGGCCCUGCUUGCAGGGUACUCGAGUGGCGAACGGGUGAGUAACACGUGGGUGAUCUGCCCUGCACUUCGGGAUAAGCCUGGGAAACUGGGUCUAAUACCGGAUAGGAGCCAUUUUUAGUGUGAUGGUUGGAAAGUUUUUUCGGUGUAGGAUGAGCUCGCGGCCUAUCAGCGUGUUGGUGGGGUAAUGGCCUACCAAGGCGGCGACGGGUAGCCGGCCUGAGAGGGUGGACGGCCACAUUGGGACUGAGAUACGGCCCAGACUCCUACGGGAGGCAGCAGUGGGGAAUAUUGCACAAUGGGCGCAAGCCUGAUGCAGCGACGCCGCGUGGGGGAUGACGGCCUUCGGGUUGUAAACUCCUUUCGCUAGGGACGAAGCUUUUUGUGACGGUACCUAGAUAAGAAGCACCGGCUAACUACGUG
rnacentral:rRNA from 1 species